GGGAGACUGGCAGGACAGAGCCAUGUCCACUCUUCCUAGUUUUCCUUGUUAGUCCAGUAAGUAUUUAUCGUCUAGAGCACGUGUUUGUGAUGAAAAUUAACCCAAGAGACUAGAGACCUAGAGACCUUUGAAAGCAAACAUAGCAAGCCUGAAAAGAAGAAAGUUGUCGUUCACCUGUGACUGUGCUCCAAAUCACACCGACGAAGAGCAACCACAGCACAAAGGAUGGCUAAAACAUUGACUUAUGCUGUCAACUGAAGCUGCAUAUUAGUGAUCUUAUCAUGUUCAGAAAAUACUGUUUCACUCUGAUCCACCCCAGUUCCACCUCUUACAACUUUUCUGCCCCCUCUUCAGCAAAGGUCCCAGAUCAUAGCGUGAGCUCUCAGCUAUGGUUCCAGUGCCAGGUCUGCCUGCCUGCUGCUAUAAUUCUCACUAGGAUAACCCUGAGCUCUAACCCUGUUUUCUUUAUAAAUUGCCAUGUUCAUGCUAUUUUGUAAAGAAAAUAGAGUUUGGUAACUAUGUAAGAAGUAACUAAGAAAGCAAGUAAUGAUGUCAAUUCUGCUAUGUCAAAGAACAACUGGGGCAUGGGAAAGUAGCUCAGUAAUUAACUAUUUGUGAAUCAAGAUAUGAGCUCUCAGCUGCUGCUCCAGUGCCAUGUUUGGCUGACUUCUGCAAUUCUUCCUCUCUCAUGAUUAUUAUAGAUUCCUAUCCCUUUGGAAGUGUACACCCCAAAUAAAC
rnacentral:lncRNA from 1 species